UACGGAGGGAGCUAGCGUUGUUCGGAAUUACUGGGCGUAAAGCGCGCGUAGGCGGCUUUGUAAGUUAGAGGUGAAAGCCCGGAGCUCAACUCCGGAACUGCCUUUAAGACUGCAUCGCUAGAAUUGUGGAGAGGUAAGUGGAAUUCCGAGUGUAGAGGUGAAAUUCGUAGAUAUUCGGAAGAACACCAGUGGCGAAGGCGACUUACUGGACACAUAUUGACGCUGAGGUGCGAAAGCGUGGGGAGCAAACAGG
rnacentral:rRNA from 1 species